rnacentral:misc_RNA from 1 species
UACGGAGGGAGCUAGCGUUGUUCGGAAUUACUGGGCGUAAAGCGCACGUAGGCGGAUAUUUAAGUCAGGGGUGAAAUCCCGCAGCUCAACUGCGGAACUGCCUUUGAUACUGGAUAUCUUGAGUAUGGAAGAGGUGAGUGGAAUUCCGAGUGUAGAGGUGAAAUUCGUAGAUAUUCGGAGGAACGCCAGUGGCGAAGGCGGCUCACUGGCCCGAAACUGACGCUGAGGUGCGAAAGCGUGGGUAGCAAACAGG